UUGCUCACUCUGCUGCAAACUGAUUGAGAGCCAAAGAAGAAAUCAGAGUUAUUGGACACAUGGACAAUUAUCCUGGAGGUUGAUGUGCAGUGACUGGAAGAUAUAAAGUAGAAAGCAGAGUUGUUGGAAGCAUGGAUAAAUGUCCUAGAGGAUGACGUUCAGCAACUGGCCACUCCUGCCCCUCACACCAGGGAAGACGACCAACCCAAUGAUUAACCCAGGCAGCUCCAAUGCUGCUAAGUCAUUUGGAACAAUGUGGGUGGACCGUGAACACAGCCAAAGUGCAAGGACCUGGGCUGUCAGUCAAAUUCCUGGGAGUGGUCUGGUCAGGUCUUUGCACAGCAAUGAAAAGCGAGCCAACAGUGAAAGCCAUGGUUGGGGUGAGCCAGGUCCCUGAAGCCGGAUCCUGAGAUACUCCCUCACUAAAUGAUGUGUGCCAUCUGCCCCACAAGCUGGCUGGACGCAGUGCCAACACGACACAGAGCAACCUAGGAUUUUAAACUCACUUUUCCUUAUCAGUUGGUGAAAGCUGAAACUAAGAUAUGUAUUCAACGGAACUUAAAAAUAGUUGUGUUUCCCAUCAUUACCUUCAGAAGCGAAAAUGUUCUCCCGUGUUGUAACUGAAGGACUAUAAAACACAGCACUCAUUCAACAGAACAGUGGUGUUCACCUUCCACCACUCACAGAUGCUGCUGUUAACAACUUCUAAUUAGUAUAUUUUACAUUUUAAAAUGUGCGUGUGGAGGUGAGCCUUCAGGGUCAAUUCUCUGAUGGAAGAUCGAUGGGCCCCAGGGUAAAUACACACACAGUUUAGUUAACUAUAGCCACAUCCCUUCAGUAAAGUGUGUGCCACUCUGCUGCCCCUUAAAACCAGAUGAAAAUGCCAGUUUCCCCCCAUGAGCUUGUGUGGUAAGGCUUCUGAAUUUCUGCCAGCCUGAUAUGUGAGAAAUGGUUUCUCAGUGUAGUUUCAAUUUACAUUGCUCUUAGUAUAAGAUAGACUGGAAACAUCUUUUUGUAUGUUUAAGGCCCAUUUAUACAUCAUACUCUAAGAGCGGUCUU